UACGAAGGGGGCUAGCGUUGCUCGGAAUCAUUGGGCGUAAAGCGCACGUAGGCGGAUCUUUAAGUCAGGGGUGAAAUCCCGGAGCUCAACUCCGGAACUGCCUUUGAUACUGGGGAUCUUGAGUCCGGGAGAGGUGAGUGGAACUGCGAGUGUAGAGGUGAAAUUCGUAGAUAUUCGCAAGAACACCAGUGGCGAAGGCGGCUCACUGGCCCGGUACUGACGCUGAGGUGCGAAAGCGUGGGGAGCGAACAGG
rnacentral:rRNA from 1 species